rnacentral:rRNA from 1 species
UGACCCCACCUUCAAAACAAAUUCCGGCCCUCACGUGCCGCCCCCCGGUGACACAUAGGCUCCAAGCGUUGUCCGGAUUUAUUGGGCGUAAAGAGCUCGUAUGCGGUUUAGUAAGUCGGGUGUGAAAACUCUGGGCUUAACCCGGAGACGCCAUCCGAUACUGCUCUGACUAGAGUUCAGGAGGGGAGUG